UGAAUAUUUUAUUUUAUCUUCUAAAAUUUAUCUUGUGAGAUCCUGCCUCCCAAAGUGUUGGUGUGAGGAGAUAUGGCCUUUCCAAAUUGAUUUUGUCAUAGCAUGGGUCCUUAUGAUGGUUUUCCUCACCUCAUAAACAGGGUGAGAGAGGUGCUUUGUCUCUCCUACCAUCUGAGGAUACACAGCAAGGUGACCUUUAUGAACCAGAUAUUCAGCAGAUUUACACUGAACUUCUAACCUUCUGCAUUGUAAAGAAAUACAUUUGUUUCAUAACCAAUCAGACUGUGACUCAUUACAUGUCAUGGAAGAACCAGGAUAAAUACUGUGCCAUAAGGUUGUCUAUAAUUUCAACCUCCACCAUCUUCUCAGUUGUUUCUAUACUCAAUAAUGAAGACAGGGAAACUGGCCAUGCAAGAUCUGUUCUGAAAGUCCCAUCUGGAGUUCCUAUCAGUCUCACCUGGAGAGUCUCUUGAGACAAAAAGGAGCAGACUCAAGAACAUCAGAAGCAUUCUAAGCCAUGGGAAUAGCAUCAAUGUGGAGAUACCAGCUCCCUUCAUCUAAGAUGCCUGGCUGACCAUCAAUAAAACAAUAAAACUAAAGAUGAGGCUAAAACUGUGACAAUGUCUUAAGAAGAAUGCAAAUCACCAGGCUUUUUGUUGUGAAGUCAUUUACUGGUUUCGUUCUCACUGGAUGAAGCACAGUGAGGCAUUUAUUUGAUUUUUUCCCCUUAGAAUGGUAAGUUGAGUUCUUCUAAUAUAUGGUUAGGAGGGGCAUUUGUCAAGGUGACAUCCUUUGGCUGGAAUCAAAAUUAGC
rnacentral:lncRNA from 1 species